UCCACCCUCAGCCACUGGUUCCGAGCGGGCUGGUGACUCACCGUGGCCUGUGAUGUUUAGGUCUGAGAAUUUGCUGAAACUGUUAGGAAAGAAACACCUUCUUUUCAGCAGAGUUGUUGAACAGGUAUAAUGUAAAUCUGAGUCCCACCGGGACCUCCAUGGGGUGAGGACUUUUCCGAAAGUGAAGCUAACAGGAGAGAAGGUUAAGCUAAGAAAUGGAGGAAGACAGUCAUGACACCGUUCCGAGCCCCCGAAGCCGGCAGUGUGGAAUGCAGCGACCCUCUGUGCUUUCUCAGCAGGGAACCCAGAUGGUCCCCGCAGUACCCUGUGACUCGAAGAAGUAAGCGGAAGAAACAAGACAAACUGGAAGGCACCCAGCUGUGGCCUCAGGAUUUUUUUUUAUUUCUUUCAUUCGCCAUAAAGAAGGAAAAAAAGGAGGAAACCAAGCCCUGCAUAAGCAUUUGAGAAUAGACUACGGAGGGUGGAAUCUGAUGAUCCGUGCACUCAACUACAACUCAAUGAAAUGCCAUGCAUAUGUCCUCCUUCCCUUUUGCUGUCCUCUUCUGAUUGCGGCAUUAUGCAGGCACCAAAGAGGGCAAAAUCAUCAUGGAACUCAUUUUUCAUUCUAUGUUAUGUGGCUUUGGCAGCUUAAGGUUUUCUUGGAACCUCUGCAGCACUCUGAGCUCCCCUGGGAUUUGUUAGGGACGAAACCACUCAGGUCCACUGGAUCUUUUCUUCUCAUGUUGU